rnacentral:pre_miRNA from 1 species
GAAAUACUCCCUCCGUUCCCAAUUACUUGUCUUAGAUUUGUCUAGAUGCGGAGGUAUCUAGCACUAAAAUGAGUCUAGAUACGGAUGUAUCUAGACAAAUCCAAGACAAGUAAUUCGGAACGGAGGGAGUACUUG